rnacentral:rRNA from 1 species
GAUGAACGCUGGCGGCGUGCCUAAUACAUGCAAGUCGAGCGAACAGACGAGGAGCUUGCUCCUCUGACGUUAGCGGCGGACGGGUGAGUAACACGUGGAUAACCUACCUAUCAGACUGGGAUAACUUCGGGAAACCGGAGCUAAUACCGGAUAAUAUAUUGAACCGCAUGGUUCAAUAGUGAAAGACGGUUUUGCUGUCACGUAUAGAUGGAUCCGCGCCGCAUUAGCUAGUUGGUAAGGUAACGGCUUACCAAGGGGACGAUGCGUAGCCGACCUGAGAGGGUGAUCGGCCACACUGGAACUGAGACACGGUCCAGACUCCUACGGGAGGCAGCAGUAGGGAAUCUUCCGCAAUGGGCGAAAGCCUGACGGAGCAACGCCGCGUGAGUGAUGAAGGUCUUCGGAUCGUAAAACUCUGUUAUUAGGGAAGAACAAAUGUGUAAGUAACUAUGCACGUCUUGACGGUACCUAAUCAGAAAGCCACGGCUAACUACGUG